rnacentral:misc_RNA from 1 species
UCGAAAUUAUCGGUGAGGGUUGUAGCUGGCCUUUCGGGGCACGUGCACGCCCGAGCCCUUUAAUCCACUUUACACCUGUGAACCUAAUGUAGGUCGCCCCUCGAAAAGGUGGCCUACGUCUUAUCAUCAACCCAUUGCAUGUCUCAGAAUGUAAACAUAUGUCCUCGCCUUAAAAAGCGUUGAUAAACUUAUA